rnacentral:rRNA from 1 species
CGGACGGGUGAGUAACGCGUGGGUAACCUGCCUCACACUGGGGGACAACAGCUGGAAACGGCUGCUAAUACCGCAUAAGCGCACAGCUUCGCAUGGAGCAGUGUGAAAAACUCCGGUGGUGUGAGAUGGACCCGCGUCUGAUUAGCUAGUUGGUAAGGUAACGGCUUACCAAGGCGACGAUCAGUAGCCGACCUGAGAGGGUGACCGGCCACAUUGGGACUGAGACACGGCCCAAACUCCUACGGGAGGCAGCAUG